AGAUCUACAUGUGCCGAAUGAAAGUAAUGGCCCGUGCUUGUCAUUUCUAUAACAAUGUGGAAGAGAAGAGUACAGAGAAAGAACUGAUUGACUCCAUCAUGGAUAUAGAGGACUUGGUUAAAAAUGGGAAUAAACACAGAGCUUGUCCUUAUUAUCUCUC